GUAAUAGUAGCUCAAAUAGGAGCAUUGGUCUUGUAAAUCAAAGGUUAAGUAUAUCUACUUCUAUUACU
rnacentral:tRNA from 1 species